rnacentral:tRNA from 1 species
GCGCUGUUUUAGCUCAGAUGGAUAGAGUAUUGCUUUCCGAAGGCAGUGGUCACUGGUUCGACUCCAGUACAGCGCACCA